rnacentral:lncRNA from 1 species
UGGGGGUGGAGGAGUGAAAGAGAUCUAUGGUGGUGUGGGGCACCACUGAAGAAUAAAAGGGGAAGUUAAAAGAGAAUUAGGGUUUACCAAAAAAAAGUUAAAAGUUUAAUGGUAAAAUUAAAAAUUAUUUACCGAAGGGUAUAUUUGAAAAAUAAAAAAAUCAGGGUGGUGUAGCAAGAAGAGUGUGGUAGUGGAGGAAGAAGCACUCAAUUUGAAGAACUAUAUUCAUUUUCUUUUUAAAGUUUGAGGAUUGUAUAGAGCUGUCAAAACGGGUAACCCGGCUCGACCCGGCCCGGCCCACCACGGGUUGGUCACUUAGUGAGCCAACCCAACCCGGCUCAUUUAUUGGCGAGCCAGAAAAACUUGAACCCGGCCCGACCCACCACGGGUUGGUGGGUAAACGGGUUGGCUCACUANNNN